rnacentral:sRNA from 1 species
UUUAAUAAUCCGUUGGCGGGGUUCGUUUAUUGGAAAAAGUCGGUAUAAAUUAUUAACUUGUUAUUAUUUUUAACAAAAGUAUUUUAAAGAAAACGAAGGGUAUAAUAGGGCAGAUUUUACGGCAUUUUUAAUUUGCAGGAGGUUUUAUUAUAUCCUUUUAAAUUGGGCGCAAUGGGCAAAAGUGGACAUUACGGUAAAUACCGAAUUAGUAUAUUAUAUAUUGUUACGGCUAAAAUAUAAUAACGUCCUUUUAAAACGGGAGGGCAAACUGGUCCAUAUAUAUAACGAUUUUAUUUAUAUUAGCGUAAAUUUUGGCCUGUUUAUUAUAUUUAAAAGGUGGAAAAAAAUACAAAUACCCUGUUCGGUAUAGUGGCUAAGGAAAUAAGUGUUAUUCCCACGCAAAGCGUAAUUAGAUCCUGUGUUAUAAAGGGGUAAUAAGCAGCGAAAAACUAUAUUAAUAUUUUAAACCAGCAGGUUGUAAAUGUUGCGGCGUGUGGAUGCCGUAUGCUCCCAAGGCGUUCGUUAUCCAGUUUAACAGGAUCGGGAUAUUAUAUUUUAUGGAAUAAUUAUAUAUAAAAACCCACCCGUAUUGCGUUGCUCCAUUGCGGUAAUAACAAGUUUAUUUAUUAGGGUAAUAAAUAAAUAUUUAUUAGGUCUAAUAGGAAAUAUUAUUUUUAACCUGGAUCUCGGAAUGUUACCUAAUAAUAUAAAGUUAACCCAAACGCCGAAAUUAUUUAUUAUUUAUAUUAAGGAGUUUUUUGCCUUUUUUCCCGAAAAUAUGUUUUUUUUUUUCCUCCCUACCCUUUAAAAUUUGCUCAUUUUAUCUUUUUCGUACGGCCGCAAAGUUUAAAAAACCCCUUGCCACAAAUAGCCGCUGCGUUCUUUUUUAUAUUCGAUCGUUAAAUAUUAUAUUUCGAUUUUUUAAAAAUACGCCUUUUGGUUUGGUAUUUUUUAAUAUAAAUGCUAAAUUAACUACCGACAAUUUUGGAAAUUUCACUAUAAAUCUUUCAAAUUUUUACAAUGUUUUACCUUCGUUUCUUAUAUAAAAUUAUUAAUUACGGUUUUUAUUUGUUAAGCCGAUUACCCAUUUCCCCGGCGAUUCCUUAUCCGUUCCUUUUGCCGAUUCCAAUCUGGUUAAUUUGGAUUCGGAUCCGUGUUUUUGGGGAUUUUAAUUUGCGUUAACAAAUU